rnacentral:tRNA from 1 species
UGGCUCAGUUGGUUGAGCAUAGCGCUUGCAAUGCUAGGGUUGUGGGUUCGAUUCCAAU